GGAUGUAGCCAAGUGGAUCAAGGCAGU
rnacentral:tRNA from 4 species